GCCUCUUUGGCUCAGUCGGUAGAACGUGCGACUCUUGAUCUCAGAGUUGUGGGUUCAAGUCCCAUGGUGGGUG
rnacentral:tRNA from 1 species